rnacentral:tRNA from 1 species
GGGGAUUUAGCUCAGCGGCAUAAGCGUCUGCCUUGCAAGCAGGUAGUCGUGAGUUCGAUCCCCG